rnacentral:rRNA from 1 species
GGCAAAAUGACCCCGUAACUUCGGGAGAAGGGGCGCCUCCGUAAGGAGGCCGCAGCGAAAAGGCUCAAGCGACUGUUUACCAAAAACACAGGUCUAUGCGAACACGAGAGUGGAAGUAUAUGGGCUGACGCCUGCCCGGUGCAGGAAGGUUAAAGGGAAGUGUCAGGGCAACCGAAGCACAGAACUGAAGCCCCUGUAAACGGCGGCCGUAACUAUAACGGUCCUAAGGUAGCGAAAUUCCUUGUCGGAUAAGUACCGACCCGCACGAAUGGCGUAACGACUUGAGCGCUGUCUCAACAAGUGACCCGGUGAAAUUGAAGUAUGUGUGAAGAUGCACAUUACCCGCAGCUGGACGGAAAGACCCCGUAGAGCUUUACUGCAGCCUGAUAUUGGGAUUUGUUGUCGGAUGUACAGGAUAGGUGGGAGACAGGGAAGCCAGGUCGUCAGAUUUGGCGGAGUCACCGUUGGGAUACCACUCUUCCGGCAGUGAAUUUCUAACCCGGUGCGGUGAUCCCGGCCGGAGACAGUGUCAGGUGGGCAGUUUGACUGGGGCGGUCGCCUCCCAAAGAGUAACGGAGGCGCCCAAAGGUUCCCUCAGAAUGGUUGGAAAUCAUUCGAAGAGUGUAAAGGCAGAAGGGAGCUUGACUGCGAGACCUACAAGUCGAGCAGGGACGAAAGUCGGGCUUAGUGAUCCGGCGGUACCGAAUGGAAGGGCCGUCGCUCAACGGAUAAAAGCUACCCCGGGGAUAACAGGCUGAUCUCCCCCAAGAGUUCACAUCGACGGGGAGGUUUGGCACCUCGAUGUCGGCUCAUCGCAUCCUGGGGCUGUAUUCGGUCCCAAGGGUUUGGCUGUUCGCCAAUUAAAGCGGUACGCGAGCUGGGUUCAGAACGUCGCGAGACAGUUCGGUCCCUAUCCGUUGCGGGCGUAGGAGAUUUGAGAGGAGCUGUCCUUAGUACGAGAGGACCGGGAUGGACAAACCGCUGGUGUACCAGUUGUUCUGCCAGGAGCAUAGCUGGGUAGCUACGUGUGGACGGGAUAAACGCUGAAAGCAUCUAAGCGUGAAGCCCCCCUCAAGAUGAGAUUUCCCAUUCGAAAGAAGUAAGAUCCCUUGAAGACGACGAGGUUGAUAGGUCAGAAGUGGAAGUGUGGUGACACAUGGAGCGGACUGAUACUAAUCGAUCGAGGACUUAACCAA